rnacentral:misc_RNA from 1 species
GACGUGAGUUGUCGUUGUCAGGGACGCUGUACUCAGGGAUCGAGCCAUCGAGAUUUAGACUACCGUGUUUUUUUCCGAUAAAAAAUGGCAAAUAAUGAUUCAUCUAGACAAGUUCUUCUUUCAGUUGAGGCUGAGGCAUACGUUGAAUCACUUGAAACAUUCCGCGUCCAAGAUAUAGGUAGCAGCAAAUGGAUGAAACAACAUGAAUAUUUAGAGAAACUCAACAUGCAAGCUGUGCUUCAUGCUUCAAGCAACCAAGAUGAAUUUGUCAAAGAGAUGCUUUUAUCACAUGAAAAGAUACCUGUUGUGAUUCAAGAACUACUUGCUCUUGAAGUUUGGAAGCAGAAUGUUUUUUCUGUCAUUCAGAGAAUGGACUUUGAACCCAAAACAACCUUUCCUCUCUACAUGGCUUUGUACCACGAGGCCACACUCUCAAACUUGUUGGAAACAAUUCUAUUUCAUAAGGAACCAUGUGAAGCUGCUGAAGAAUGCAUUUUAGAUCUGGUUGAUUACUGUCAUCGUAAAAUCACUGAUCUCAUUGCAAGGCAAGAAGAGAAUAGUGAUAAAGAAGAAGCAGAUCUUCCUCAGGAUGGCAAAUCAAUAGAUGAAUCAUCUGCGAUGGAGGAAUUAAGGAGACAGCAGCGUAAGAUCCAGUUUGACGUGAGCAUCAAGGCAAUAUCCAUAUUUAGAUACAUCACUGACAAUCUAUCCAGUCUUUCACUGAGUGUGACAACAAGAAUCUUAAAUACCCUGGAUCUACCCAGCCUCCUAGUACAGCUUGUCGACGAUCCACCAUGGACAAAAUACAAAGAUGGAAAGUUGACCAAGUACAUAGACAACAAGUGGCAAGAGGUAGCCCCUGGUGACAGGCUUCAGUUGACUAAACUUGAGGGGCAGGUCUGGAUUGCUCUUUACAACCUCCUCAUGGGACCAGAUUGUCAGCAGAAAUAUGCGUUCAAUCCACACAACAAGGCCCAAAUACUCAAGUUACGAUCACAUCUGACAGAAGUGUUGCUAGAUCAGAUACCAAGUUUGUGUGAUCUCCAACGUUACCUUAGCAACCUCUCCAUGAUGGAGCCCCCAGCAGCUCAGACAGGCCUAGUUUUAGAACAGGUUCCAGAAAUCCGAGAGAGACUUCUAAAAGAGAAUGAAGGCAAGUGGAAGGCUAUUGCCAAGCAUCAAGUCAAGAACUUCUUUAAUUCCUCUGCCCAAUCAAUGAGGGACCAAGCAAAAUGUUCGCAGACAUGUAUAACUUCGAUGUACUAGAGUCCUUGAUAGCAGAACCACCAAAGUGUGCCCUCUGUGGUUCACCAGCUGACAAGAGAUGUUCUCGCUGUCAGAAUGAAUGGUACUGCAGAAGAGAGUGUCAGGUCAAACACUACAGCAAA